rnacentral:rRNA from 1 species
GAUGAACGCUGGCGGCGUGCCUAAUACAUGCAAGUAGAACGCUGAAGGAGGAGCUUGCUCUUCUGGAUGAGUUGCGAACGGGUGAGUAAUGCGUAGGUAACCUGCCUGGUAGCGGGGGAUAACUAUUGGAAACGAUAGCUAAUACCGCAUGACAACAGUUAUUGCAUGAUAACUGUUUAAAAGGGGCAACUGCUCCACUACCAGAUGGACCUGCGUUGUAUUAGCUAGUUGGUGAGGUAACGGCUCACCAAGGCGACGAUACAUAGCCGACCUGAGAGGGUGAUCGGCCACACUGGGACUGAGACACGGCCCAGACUCCUACGGGAGGCAGCAGUAGGGAAUCUUCGGCAAUGGACGGAAGUCUGACCGAGCAACGCCGCGUGAGUGAAGAAGGUUUUCGGAUCGUAAAGCUCUGUUGUAAGAGAAGAACGAGUGUGAGAGUGGAAAGUUCACACUGUGACGGUAUCUUACCAGAAAGGGACGGCUAACUACGUG